GACAAUGCACAAUUCGCUAAAUCCCUUAUCUCUCUCGCUCUAACACUCUGUCCGAUCGCGUCGAUUCCAUCCGUUGUUGGUGAUGGCCAUCGAUUCUUUAGGUUUCAAACUCAAUCUCUUGCCCAAUCUCAUUCUGACCGAGCUAUCCAUCCGUUCUUGUUCGUCUAUACACACCGCUCAACAUACAAUCUUUCCUUUUUCUAACCCAAUUUGAAAAUCUGAGCUCGGUUUAGGGAAUUCGUUCCGAUCUACUGUUACGCUUACAUUUGCUCUUUUUUUGAGUUAUAUAAACAUAGAUGAGUGUUUUUCACAUAUGUGGAUUCAACCUUGUGAUCCGAAACCUAAUAUGAAGGUAAAUUUUCGAGUUACCAACUAAGGUAAAAGGCUAUCAAUGGCGUAAAGAGGUAAAACUUGUAGAAACAGUGUACAUACAACAACAUUUUGCUAAGGGAUAUUGAAUGUGGGGGACUGCUACUGAAGAGAUGUAACUGAAGAGAUGGAGAAAUGGUGGGUAAAAGAAGAUUGACACAUGUUUAUAUAGGCUGAAGAAGUGAAAUUCAAAAUUUGAAGAGACUUGCAGCCGGAAGAGUGAUGGAAACCUUUGAGUUUCCAAGAAAGAAUUCCGAAUCAUCAGGGUUAUUUUUUGUUAGAAAUUUUUAUUAAUAAUUGUUCAAUAUGUAUGUGUAUAUCGGAAUGUCUUUAGGUGUAUAUAAAUAAAUAGAUA